rnacentral:misc_RNA from 1 species
AAAGUCGUAACAAGGUUUCCAUAGGUGAACCUGCGGAAGGAUCAUUAACGUAGGGCUCCAGCCCCGCUGAGAUAGAACCCUUGCCUUUUUCAAGCACCCGUACAUUUCCUCAGCAGGCCCGCCUGCCAGUAGGGACCCAAACACAAACCCUUAAAAUCACCUGCCACUGUCUGAGAAAACAAAACAAAAAUCAAAACUUUCAACAACAGAUCUCUUGGUUCUG